AGUACGGUGCCCUCCAGGAAGAUCAACAUCACCAGAAGUAGGAGUCCCCGCUCCAGAAAACUUCUGGAGCCAGUGGAGGACCUGAGCCCUAGGACCAUGCCUCGGGACUACUUGGCCUGAUGAUUCCAUGCUGUCCCCAGUCCACCUGGUCGUGCUGCUGCUCCAGUUUCAACUGUUCUGCCUGCGGCUAUGGAACUCUGACCUGUUCACUGGACGUGCUACCUUGUCCCAGACCUGCUGUUUUUCGACUCUCUCUACCGCACCUGCUGUCUCGAUCUCUGAAUGAUCAGCUAUAAAAAGCCAACUGACAUUUACUCCUGAGGUGCUGACUUGUUGCACCCUCUACAAACACUGUGAUUUUUAUUAUUUGACCCUGCUGGUCAUCUAUGAAUAUUUGAACAUCGUGACCAUGUACUGUUAUAAUCUCCACCUGGCACAGCCAGAAGAGCCUGGUUCCUCUCUAGGUUUCUUCCUAGGUUCCGGCCUUUCUAGGGAGUUUUUCCUAGCCACUGUGCUUCUACGUCUGCAUUGCUUGCUGUUUGGGGUUUUAGGCUGGGUUUCUGUAUAGCACUUGUGACAUUGGCUGAUGUAAAAAGGGCUUUAUAAAUACAUUUGAUUGAUUGAUUGAUUGAUCAUUACUCAGGUGCUGAGGUGCUGUGCACAAUGAACGGCACUCUAAAAUGUACAGUUUUGCCACAACACAAUGCCGCAGAUGUCUCAACUUUUGAGGAAGUGUACAAUUGGCAUGCUGACUACAGGAAUGUCCAACAGAGCUGUUGCCAGAGAAUCUCUAAUCCUCUAACAUAAGCUGCCUCCAAUGUCAUUUUAGAGAAUUUGGCAGUACAUCCAACCGGCCUCACAACCGCAAACCACAUGUAACCACGGCAGCCAAGGACCUCCACAUCUGGCUUCUUCACCUGCGGGAUCGUCUGAGACCAGCCACCCGGACAGCUGAUGAAACUGAAGAGUAUUUAUGUUUGUAAUAAAGUCCUUUGGGGUGAAAAAGUCAUUCUGAUUGGCUGGGCCUAUUCCCCCAGUUAGUGGAACUGGCUCCCAAGUGAGUGGACCUAUGCCCUCCCAGGCCCACCCAUGGUUGCACCCCUGCCCAGUCAUGUGAAAUCCAUAGAUUAGGGCCUAAUUUAUUUAUUUCAAUUGACUGAUUUCCUUAUAUGAACUGAAACUCAGUAAAAUUGUUGAAAUUGUUGCAUGUUGCAUUUAUAUUUUUGUUCAGUAUACAUAUACAGUAGGGCUUAUUAUAUGUUGGGGUGGCAGGUAGCCUAGCGGUUAGAGCAGUUAGCCUAGCGGUUAGAGCAGGUAGCCUAGCGGUUAGAGCAGGUAGCCUAGUGGUUAGAGCAGUUAGCCUAGCGGUUAGAGCAGGUAGCCUAGUGGUUAGAGCAGGUAGCCUAGCGGUUAGAGCAGGUAGCCUAGCGGUUAGAGCGUUGGGCCAGUAACUGAAAGUUUGCUUGAUCGAAUCCCUGAGCUGACAAGGUAAAAAUCUGUUGUUCUGCUCCUGAAAAAGACAGUUCAUCCACUGUUCCUAGGCCAUCAUUGUAAAUAAGAAUUUGUUCUUACUGACUUGCCUAGUUAAAUAAAGGUUAAAUAAAAAAUGUUGGCUCAGGGCCAGCAGCUAAGCUACUGUAUUAGAGUUGCAUAGUAAUAUGUUAGGUUAGUAUUAGCACUAAGGUGUAUGUGGACUGAUCAUUGUCUAUCAAUAAAGCACAACUUGGAGAAAUGUC